UUUUUAGUGUAAACCUGAUGAUAGAAAUUUCCCAGCAUUCUGUUUCUCUACUUAGGAGCUGUACUUGGAGGAAAACUACCAAAAGACACACGCAGUUCUCCACCUCAAGUCAAUGGUCCAGGCAUAUACUCCAGCUGAAUUCAGAGACUAGACCAUUCUGUGAUUCCAAGGAGGAGGAGGAGGAGGAGGAGGAGAGCGUUACUUGCCAAACUUCAGACAUCUGCCUGCUGGCUGGCCAACCCCCACGGCAUCAUCUCUGAGAAGAUUGCAUGUCGCAGCUCCCAUCCUUGCCAAGUCAUGAAAGUAAAUAUACAAGCAGUAUUAAUAGCCUCUGGUAUUUUCAGCGCCCUGCUCGAACUCCGGAAAGGGAUCCCCUGAACAUUCCUAACUGAAGCAUGGUGAGAAGUGUCAUCUUUGCAAAGGCCGUUCGAGUCUUUAUGGGAAGGAUCUUUUUCAAUCGACUCGUCCAGUCAAGUUCCUAUGGCUGGUUCUAGGCCCCAGAGUAAAUGUAAGCGUUACCUGUAAGCAGUGAUCCUUCACCUGGGAGGAGAAAAGGUUAGGAAUCCCAGAUGAACAGCCAGAACACUCCGAAAAAUGUAGGAAGGCCUAGACCCAAUUUUACACACAACGUCAAGAGUCCAAGAGCCUUUGAAUCCCUUCCAUGGAUUCCAGAUUAGGAAUCUUUGGUCUAUCUUCUUUAACAUGUUCCCUCUGCAUUCUGUGAGAGUCUUUUAGAGAGAUUUAACAUUGAAAAUGAAACACUAGAAUCUGAGAGAGACUCUAGGUAGGCUAUCACUUUCCAUCACUAUCACAAACACUGAUCUUAAGUCCCUGACUAGAACCUACGGUGCCUUCUAAUGGGAUCUAAAUGGCACCUGGCAAUGGGGGGAAAGAGCCAGGUAGAAUAGACUCAUAAUUCCCGUAUGUUUUUACUGCCUCUGGCUUCUCUCUGUACCCCCCACCACCGCUUAUAAUCACAUACAUUAUCAUUCUAUCCCCAGUGUUUCUUUGACAUUGCGUUGUUCCUCAAUACCUGGGCAAGCCUGUAUAGUUUAAAAAUUGUUU
rnacentral:lncRNA from 1 species